rnacentral:lncRNA from 1 species
GGAUGUGUUGAUUUUGUGUCAUAGUGUUUAAUAGUGUCAGCCUUCCAUAAUGGAACUUCAGUUAUGAGAGACCAAGAGUAAAUAUCACUAAGGACUUUGCAUUCUCAUGUGGUGACAGGAUUAGUGUUUUUGGUUGCUCACAGGACAGUUGUGUCCUAUUAGAUAUAAGUAUGGCCUUCUUAUUACCUUGGCUUGGAGAUUGCAUUUAAGAAAUUGUACAAGUGUGCCAGGCAGACAAAGGGAAGGCUUGUGAUAGCUAAUUUUAUGUUAGCUUGGCUAGGUCACAGUGCACUGCUAUUUGGUCAGAGAUUGUCCUGGAUGUUUUUGAAUGGUAUUAAUAUUUAAGUCACUAGACGUGGAGUAAAGCAGAUUGCCUUCCAUAAUGUGAGUCUCAUCAGUUGAAGCCCAUAAUGCAACAAAGACUGGCCUCCCAGCCAGAAGGAACUCUGGCAGCGUAAUUCCUCUGGAUUUGAACUGCAGUGCUUCCCUGGGUCUCCAGCCUGCUGGCUACCCUGCAGAGCUGGGAUUACCUCACCUCUAUGUUGUGAACCAGUUCUUUAAAGCAAAUUUCCAUUUCUGUAUGCAUACACACAUCCCGGUGGUUUCUAGAGUGCCUGUUCCAGUGGGCUGUAUUUUAGAAGGAUAUUUUAUUAGCACUGCAUGAUUUUUUUAAAGUACAUGAUUGUAAUAUAAUUAAUCAGAAAAUUCGUUAGCUUAUAAAAAUGUAAACUAUAGAAA